rnacentral:rRNA from 1 species
UACGUAGGGUGCAAGCGUUAAUCGGAAUUACUGGGCGUAAAGCGUGCGCAGGCGGCUUUGCAAGACAGAUGUGAAAUCCCCGGGCUUAACCUGGGAACUGCAUUUGUGACUGCAUGGCUGGAGUGCGGCAGAGGGGGAUGGAAUUCCGCGUGUAGCAGUGAAAUGCGUAGAUAUGCGGAGGAACACCGAUGGCGAAGUCAAUCCCCUGGGCCUGCACUGACGCUCAUGCACGAAAGCGUGGGGAGCAAACAGG